rnacentral:tRNA from 1 species
GCGAGGGUGGCGGAAUUGGCAGACGCGCAUGCUUCAGGCGCAUGUGGAGCAAUCCAUACGGGUUCAAGUCCCGUCCCUCGCACCA